rnacentral:rRNA from 1 species
UGGGGAAUCUUCCGCAAUGGACGAAAGUCUGACGGAGCAAUGCCGCGUGUAUGAUGAAGGUCUUCGGAUUGUAAAGUACUGUCAUUGGGGAAGAACGGUUUUCUUGAAAAGAUUGAGAAGACAUGACGGUACCCAAGGAGGAAGCCCCGGCUAACUACGUGCCAGCAGCCGCGGUAAUACGUAGGGGGCAAGCGUUGUCCGGAAUUAUUGGGCGUAAAGGGCGCGUAGGCGGGCCUUUAAGUCCGGUGUGAAAGAUCAGGGCUCAACCCUGAGAGUGCAUCGGAAACUGGAGGCCUUGAGGACAGGAGAGGAAAGUGGAAUUCCGCGUAGCGGUGAAAUGCGUAGAUAUGUGGAGGAACACCAGUGGCGAAGGCGACUUUCUGGACUGUAACUGACGCUGAGGCGCGAAAGCGUGGGGAGCAAAACAGGAUUAGAUACCCUGGUAGUCCACGCCGUAAAACGAUGAGUGCUAGGUGUAGAGGGUAUCGACCCCUUCUGUGCCGCAGUUAACACAAUAAGGCACUCCCGCCUGGGGAGUACGGCCGCAAGUUG